ensembl:lncRNA
GUGCACAAACGUCUGGUCCUCUCUCAGUAAGUAUCACAGUUUAGUUCACUCUCACACAUAUGAGCACCGACAUGGCAGCUGACCAGAGAAACGAGCCAGGCAUUGUGAUCGAAGACAGCUGGGCAGGUUACAGUUUGGAGCUGUUUAAUUAUCCUGAGCAUUUGUCCAGCAGGUGAUCUGGAGUGUGUGUACAUCCCUCAUGGAGUCAUUAUGAACAGGAUUGAGUGUCUGGCCAGAGAUAUCCUUGAAGACAUCGGACAUCAUGAUCUGAUGGUUCUGUGUGUUCUGACCUGGUGGAGUCAAUUAAAGCUCAGAGCCGCAGCGCCAACAGAAGACUGACCACCAGAGUAGAGUUCAUCUGCUUCAAGAGCUAUCUGAAUGUCUUGAUUGUGGAGGUGAGAUGGUAUGUGUGUGUGUGUUUAUUGCAUGUUUAAAAAGUAUGCAGAUAUGUUAUUAAUUGUUAUCAUGAAUUGUAAUUAUAUUUAAGGUGAAAAAAAACUGAAAACAAUCAUAAAAACACAUGAUAAGUCAGCUGAAAUGUAAGUACAAGAGAGAAGCAAACAGAGGUUGUUAUGAAUAAUGAAUGAAAAAUUGCACAUGUGCAGGGUAGUCUGGCUUGUGUCUGGAAAACAAUAGAGUAGAAAGGUAUUUUCCUUUCAGAUCUGAUUUCAUAUCAGACAUUUACCAGUCUGAAAUCACCCGUGUAGAUCACUCUAUCACAUGAGCUGUUGCAUUAAAGGCAAACAGUGCUGUUGAUCUUUUUUCCCGUAAGCUUUGGGUCUGUUUUGUUAAUUGUUAUAAACUGUCAUUAUGAGUUGUGUGCCAGUUUCCAUUCUUAUUUUAUUUACUGUGUGGUUCAUUUAUAAGUUAAACACUUGUUUUCUCUUACUCUGAAAAAAUAGCUCUGUUAUAAAAAGCAUCAUAUUAUAGCUGCACUAAAGACAUGAAGCUGUCAGAAUGCAUGCAUUGUUAGCUUCAAAACGUCAAACUCUUUUGAGGUCAAUUGUGAAUUUUUCUUGUGUGCUUCAUGUGAAGAAUGAUAUUUUUUAUGGCUUGCAAAAUUGCUCUUUAUGUGGAGUACAAGUAAUCACUUACAGUAUGAGCAAACCCACAUGGAAUCUGCACCUGCAGAACUCCACAGGAAGACAGAAAUCAAAUAGCCAGUUUAUUAGAACAGAGCUUUUGUCUCAUGUAUCACCAUAUAUCCAUUCCAGUGUAACUGUAUAUGUAUUCAUUUCCUCACAGGCAAUAGUGGACACAGGAAAGACCAUGAGAGCCCUUCUACAGCACAUGGAGACUUUCCAGCCCAAAUGGUGAAAGCCGAAGGGCUGCUGGUUUAAGAGGGUUCCUCACGGGGCAGUGGAGCUCCCAGACUGUGAGUGAUCGAGGGUGCUCAAACACUACUUCUGGCCUGCAGAAAUGGGCCAUAAUGAAUCACAAUAUCACGCAGGGGAUAGAGAGAUUAUCUGAACAUGACUGCGAUUACUGUGAUCUGGUUAUUUAUGUUUCUCUGCAGAUGAUGGUUUUGUUAUUCCUAAUCGUUUCGUGGUGGGUUAUGCUCUGGACUACAAUGAGAGACCUCAAUCACAUCUGUGUCAUCAGUGAGAUGGGGAAACAGAAGCUCCUCUUUCAAGAGGAAUGGACAUUUACAUUACCAUAACAGAUGAAAAACUCGUUUUGCAAGAUUACUGUGAUCUCAAAUCAGAGAUAAAUCUGAUCUCUCAAAUCUGAUAUCUGUAACUGACAUGCCGAAUUAUGUUUGAAAUGUAAUAUAUUUUGCAUGAAUUGGGUAAAGUCACACAUCGCAGUACUAACGUGAUAUGAUGUGGAAAACAGACUUACUGUGUGCCAUUUUAUAUGCUGUAUAAAAGCCAAGCUGUUCAUUUUUGUCCUAUUUAGAAGAUAUUUGUUUGACAGACCAUCCAUGGCACUAUUUCACAUAAAAGAUGUUUACAUGUAGUACAAGAGACAAUAAUAGCUGAAUUUAUAAAAAUGACUCCGUUCAAAAGUUGACAUCUCCUUGAUUCUUAUUAAUGUGUUCUUACCUGAAUGUGAUAGUUGUUCAUAAGUCCCUUGUUUGUCCUGAACAGUUAAACUGCCUGCUGUUCUUCAGAAAAAUCCUUCAGGUCCCGAAAAUUAUUUGGUUUUCCAGCAUUUUUGUGUAUUUGAACCCUUCCAACAAUGACUAUGAUUUUGAGAUCCAUCUUUUCACACUGAGGGACUCAUAUGCAACUAUUACAGAAUGUCCAAAUGCUCAUUGAUGCUCCAGAAGGAAAAACCAUGCAUUAAGAGCUGGGGGGUGAAAACUUUUGAACAGAAUGGAGAUGUGUACAUUUUUCUUAUUAUUUCUUAUUUUGCCAAAAUAUCUAUAAUAUUUUUUUUUGAACCACCUUUUAGAGGCUACAAAAGAUUUAACUCACAACUUACAGAAUUUAAAGGAUCUGCUGCUAAUGGUGCUAGAAACAGGACAAAUUCGGAGGUCUUGUGGAGUCCAUGCCUUGACACAUCAAAGUUGUUUUAGAAGCACGAAAGGAACUUACACAAUAUAAGUGGUUUUAAUGUUGUAGCUGGUCAGUGGAUAAAAUUGAUUAAACCUUAUCUUUGCAAAAAAAGAAGGAAAAAAAAGAAAGAAACAGAGGAGUGUUACAGGUAAUGCUAUUGAAGAAUAUUAAUUAAGAAAACAAUGCCUUAUUUUCUUUGUAACUGAGUACUUAUGUCUUCUACAAAGGACACUAAAAAUCAUGUAUAUCUUAUGUUCAAAACAAUAUGACGACAAACAAAAUAAAUAACACAUGCCUUCAGCUUUUUUGUUGGGUUCCAGAAAGAUGUAUUUGCACACUACAAACUGGCGUUAAAUAAAGAACAUCUGAAAAGCCC